rnacentral:rRNA from 1 species
UGAGGAAUAUUGGACAAUGGGUGGAAGCCUGAUCCAGCCAUCCCGCGUGAAGGAUGACGGUUCUAUGGAUUGUAAACUUCUUUUGUACAGGGAUAAACCUGCCCUCGUGAGGGCAGCUGAAGGUACUGUACGAAUAAGCACCGGCUAACUCCGUGCCAGCAGCCGCGGUAGUACGGAGGGUGCGAGCGUUAUCCGGAUUUAUUGGGUUUAAAGGGUCCGUAGGCGGGCCUGUAAGUCAGUGGUGAAAUCUCAUAGCUUAACUAUGAAACUGCCAUUGAUACUGCAGGCCUUGAGUAAAUUUGAAGUGGCUGGAAUAAGUAGUGUAGCGGUGAAAUGCAUAGAUAUUACUUAGAACACCGAUUGCGAAGGCAGGUCACUAGGAUUUAACUGACGCUGAUGGACGAAAGCGUGGGGAGCGAACA